AGCUCCAAUAGCGUAUAUUAAAGUUGUUGCAGUUAAAAAGCUCGUAGUUGGAUCUCGGGUGCAGGCUUGCGGUCCGUCUCGCGACGGUCACUGCUCGUCCUGGCAGCCUAGCUGCGGUGUAUCCCUUGGUGCUCUUGACUGAGUGUCUCGGGUGGCCGGAACGUUUACUCUGAUGAAAUUAGAGUGUUCAAAGCGCGGGCGCUUCGCCCGCAUAAUGGUGCAUGGAAUGAUAGAAUAGGACCUCGGUUCUAUUUUGUUGGUUUUCGGAACCAGAGGUAAUGAUUGAGAGGGACAGACGGGGGCAUUCGUAUUGCGGCGUUAGAGGUGAAAUUCUUGGAUCGCCGCAAGACGGACUACAGCGAAAGCAUUUGCCAAGAAUGUUU
rnacentral:rRNA from 1 species